AAUGUCCUUGAGUGGCCCAGCCAGAGCCUCUGGAGAGACCUGAAAAUAGCUGUGCAGCGACCCUCCCCAUCCAACCUGACAGAGCUUGAGAGGAUCUGCAGAGAACAUUGGGAGAAACUCCCCAUAUACAUGUGUGCCAAGCUUGUAGCGUCAUACCCAUGAAGACUCAAGGCUGUAAUUAACUGUUUCACUACCAGAGGUUCAACUGAUAGCCAGAUGUAGCGGGGCAAUAAUUCAGUAAGGUGUUGGGGCAGCUUUAUGUAGGCCUUAACAGUUUGUGGGCACCGUUUGGCACCAUUAUAGUGCAAUUCAUGUAUUCGUGUUGUGUAGUGGCUUUGCUGGCAUGCGAUAUUUACAUGCUAAAAUCGCCACGGGUCACAAGUAUUCUCACUGAUAGGAUUACCUGUAAAGCACCUACUAAGUGAGAAGCUUGCAACGUGUUGGUCACCCCAUCUAUCAUGUCCUGUGUGUUUUGGUGCUGCUUGGGUGAAGCUUUCCUAAAGCAUUAGCUAUGGAGGCGUGGCUUUAGGAAAUUACGUUUCGUUUCGAGGCGUGUCAAGGCGAUCAAAGUAGAGUACAUUUUUUUCUCCCACUACUGUCUCGGAGCUAUAGUGGGCACGGUUGUCGUUAGGCUAAUAUUACAGCAACAAAGCCAACGGGAUGCAGGGUAGGCAAACCGACUGACAAUCGCAUGAGUGAGGAUACCAGGGAGAGGCUUUUUUUAACGGUAUUUCUCUGGUAUAGGCUGUAGAGUCUACAUGUUUUAUAACAGACAAAAAUAGAAGACAAAAGGACAAACGGGUCAUAUUUUGCCGGCUCGAAAAGUCGACUCGCUUUCAGUCUGCAACAAUGGAAUUAAGUUUUAUAUUGCCUGCUAUUCUUUUCACGCUGUUCGCUAUUAUUCUGGUGACAACAUUGUUCAGUACCAACGAUACUUCUACUGUCUCGUCCUCUGGCUCUGCUGCAUCCAAAGCGGAUCACUCAGGGGAGGGAUCUUUGUCGCAGUCCGGGAGAGAGGAGGUGAAAACGGGAUUAGCUAAAUCAGGACCGUCGGUAAAUCUUACAGAGAAACAGGGGACAGCAGCAGGGCUAACAACGGACAAAUCGGAGGAGGACAGUGAAUGUCGAUCUGUCGGAAAAAUAAUGGAUCCGGUGGCAGCGGACAGAAGGACAGUUGAGGGGCUGCCCGCUGCAGAAGUUAGGACCCAUGCUGCUCACGAGAAAAAGGUGAAAUCUGGCAUUACCCUCUCCCUGUCUGGCCAACGGUACUCGACCUCAAACCCUGCCUCAGCACCAGUAGAUAUUCCAGGUAGAGACUUUGGUCACCUACAGUUCCCUGAGGGGGGGUCGUUAUUGUGCCCUUUCUCCUACCGACAGACAGGGGGUGCCACAGAGAGCCCAGAGUACAGCAACGAUAUGGAGGAAGUGGAAGUGCCCCUGAAAUACGUCCCCGGCAUGCUGCGGACCAGCCAGAUGGAGAAGAUGAUGACCAAAGAGGAGCUGGAGGAGGAACAGAGGGUAGAGUUCACCACUGACUUUACCUCUCUGUAAGUCCCUCGGACAGACAGACAGACAUGCAGACAGACAGGGGCUGUAGUAAAAACAUGGGUGCAACGGGAGCAGCUGGCAGCCAUCUUUCAGCUGCUGAAGGAGAACCAGGAGACGUUUGGGGAGGUGUCAGAGGGAGACGUGGAGGAGCAGCUCAGACUCUACUCCAUCUGAUCCCCUACUCUACUCACACCCUACUACAACUGACUACAACAUCUGAUCCCCUACUCUACUCACACCCUACUACAACUGACUACAACAUCUGAUCCCCUACUCUACUCACACCCUACUACAACUGACUACAACAUCUGAUCCCCUACUCUACUCACACCCUACUACAACUGACUACAACAUCUGAUCCCCUACUCUACUCACACCCUACUACAACUGACUACAACAUCUGAUCCCCUACUCUACUCACACCCUACUACAACUGACUACAACAUCUGAACCCUUACUCUACUCACACCCUACUACAACUGACUACAACAUCUGAUCCCCUACUCUACUCACACUCUACUACAACUGACUACAACAUCUGAACCCCUACUCUACUCACACUACUACAACAUCUGAACCCCUACUCUACUCACAACCUACUACAACUGACUACAACAUCUGAACCCUUACUCUACUCACACCCUACUACAGUGAGGGAAAAAAGUAUUUGAUCCCCUGCUGAUUUUGUACGUUUGCCCACUGACAAAGAAAUGAUCAGUCUAUAAUUUUAAUG